UCUGACUUGACCUCGGAUUUCAGCUCCCAUUCACAGCUCAAGCUGCAAGACCUCCAAAGGGAAAGGAGCCCUGCAGCAUAUCAGGGUGUAAGAACAUAAAGAAGUAUUCCUGUUCUCGGACUGGUGUUCCACUGUGUAGUCUCGCCUGUUACAAGAAAAACAGUCUACUACACAAUCUCCCCAGUGUCAGGGCCGCUAGCUGAGUGAACAUUACACUCAACUUGAAUAUAUUGUCCAAGCUUCUCUCUGAGGGUAGCAGGGUGUCACUAGUGUCAAGACCUUCAACUUAGAGGAUGUUCCAGAAAAAGCUCCCUGGAGUAUUAAAUUCUCAAGAGAGGCGGUGUAAUACGAGCAAACACUAUCAUUGUAUUAGUGUGAGCUUUUGGCUGGCCACUCUUGGGGAGAAUGUGGCUUGAAGAAAAUGACAGUCAUCUGAGUGUCAGAGCCUACAGCUGAGGAAAUGUGACGAAAAGCACCACCUGUUAAUGCUCUGUGGUAGGCGUUCUGUAUUACUGUGUUGCUGGAAAAGUGUCUCUUGAUCAUGAUGAAGGGUGGGCAGCAAUUAUUAACAUUAUUAUAACAGUACCAGUUAUGGAGCUGAUGGAGAUUUUCUUUUUUUACAGAUGUUAGCUGAUGUUUUAAAAUAAAUCAUCUCCAACACAUAUAUA